rnacentral:rRNA from 1 species
AACGAACGCUGGCGGCAUGCCUAACACAUGCAAGUCGAACGAGACCUUCGGGUCUAGUGGCGCACAGGUGCGUAACGCGUGGGAACCUGCCCUUAGGUUCGGAAUAACUCCCCGAAAGGGGUGCUAAUACCGGAUAGGAGCUCCUGCUGCAUGGUGGGGGUUGGAAAGUUUCGGCGGAUGGGGAUGGACUCGCGGCUUAUCAUCUUGGUGGUGGGGUAGUGGCUUACCAAGGCUUUGACGGGUAGCCGGCCUGAGAGGGUGACCGGCCACAUUGGGACUGAGAUACGGCCCAGACUCCUACGGGAGGCAGCAGUGGGGAAUAUUGCACAAUGGGCGGAAGCCUGAUGCAGCAACGCCGCGUGCGGGAUGACGGCCUUCGGGUUGUAAACCGCUUUCGCCUGUGACGAAGCGUGAGUGACGGUAAUGGGUAAAGAAGCACCGGCUAACUACGUG